GAUCUGAUGGUUCUGGCUUUAAUUAGUACAGCCUGUAUUAGUAAUGUCAUUUAUUCUUUACAGGCUAUGCUAAUCUAUGCCAGAAUCAGCAAUGCAAUGG
ensembl:miRNA